rnacentral:snoRNA from 1 species
GUGAAUGAUGAUGUCUAUAUUCACACUGUACUAGAGGUGCUCCCUCAGUGACUACAAAAAAAAAAAACUGAUUUAAUGACUCUGACA